rnacentral:rRNA from 1 species
UUAUGGCUCAGGAUGAACGCUGGCGGCGUGCUUAACACAUGCAAGUCGAGCGAGAAGCUCGUGAACGAUUCUUCGGAUGAGUGAUCGAGUGGAAAGCGGCGGACGGGUGAGUAACGCGUAGGCAACCUGCCCCAUACAAAGGGAUAGCUACUGGAAACGGUAAUUAAUACCUCAUAACACGGAGAGACCGCAUGAUCUUUCCGUCAAAGAUUUAUCGGUAUGGGAUGGGCCUGCGUCUGAUUAGCUGGUUGGUGGGGUAACGGCCCACCAAGGCGACGAUCAGUAGCCGACCUGAGAGGGUAAACGGCCACAUUGGAACUGAGACACGGUCCAAACUCCUACGGGAGGCAGCAGUGGGGAAUAUUGCACAAUGGGGGGAACCCUGAUGCCAGCAACGCCGCGUGAGCGAAGAAGGCCUUUGGGUCGUAAAGCUCUGUCCUGAAGGAAGAAGGAAGUGACGGUACUUCAGGAGGAAGCCCCGGCUAACUACGUGCCAGCAGCUGC